ensembl:lncRNA
UCUGCUUUUCCCCAAAGCUAUUUUUUGUCAAUAGCACAUUGAUUGAAGUUCAGUUGAAAUAAGAACUGUCCUUGCAUCAACUGUCAGUGAAUCAAAUGUCCAAUAAGUCUGUGUACAAAAUAUAGUUUUAUGUAUAUUUGUAAAAUUGUGUGAGUGUAUUAAGGCAUGUGCUCAAGAUUUUUGAGUUAAUAUUCUGUGUGAGGGUAUUGUAGACCGUGUGUGUAUUUGUGUGUGUGUUUGUCUCUAGUGUCUAUGCGUGUAUAUACUGUGGUUUGUGUUGAUAAAAUGAUGUGUAUAGGUGUGUGUAGCUGGUUAUCUUUCACAUGAUUUAACCAUCCUCAUCUACAUGCUCCAUGAAUAUAGAACGCUUGCAUGCCCCAUAUGCAAAUAGACCCACCGUGUUAAGUCAUUAAUAUGCACUCCUAAUUAAAACACCCUCAAUUGAUUGAAUUAAUGUCGCCGAAAUAAGUCAGGUAAAAUAAAUUCCUCUUCGCAAGCGGUUUCGAAUUCACAAAAUGGCUGAACGACGCCAUUUGCAGCCUCAUCGCAAAGAAGGGCACAACGAUCACUGCAUGAGAAUGAAGAAGACCACAGCUGCCCCUCAGAAUGCCAGCUUAAAAGACAUUUAAAAAAAAAAAAUCAAAUGGCUUCGUGAUUAACUCAGAUCACAUCCCCUCCUCCCAUGUCCCUCGGUGCGAUCUAUGCAAUUAACACACUGCCAGUAAUUAACACUGUCUCGAGGCAGCCAAUGGUGCGGGAAGGCGAGGGGGGGGUCCAAAGCGCGAUGGUUGGAAGGCUCAGGGUUAGGAAUAGGACACUAAAAUAACACUACCCAUGUUAUUUUUACUUACUGCCAUUUUGUGCCAGUCCUUGUCCUAAUCUAAGAUGGUGGCAGCAGGGCUGUGACUCGUUGUGCAGGAGAAGGGGGGCAAACUAGGGAGGGAGGGAGAGGAGGGAGGGAGUGAAGGAUGCUGGGAUAGAGAAGUGAAUCUCUUUCAUUUAGUCAGUGCAUUACAGAAUGGUUACCAGGACAGGAAGAUAGGGGGAUGGGAGGGAUAGAGGAAGGGAGAUGAUUGUCAGGUCUACUGGCCAAUGAGUGGGACAUGCCUGCAUGUCUUGCUCAGGUUCACGCACAUGCACUCACACCCACAAACAUCCAUACACUGACACAUAUCGCGCAUGCUUAAAUAAUUACUAAACUAUUAAUAUUUGGAGGAGAUGUAAAUGUCAAAAUGUGCACAAAAAACAAUGUAAACAUUUGAUAUACACACUAUGGAUGAACAACAAGAUGACCUGACUAUUUUUGCUAUAUUCCACACACGCAAAAGCUAUGCACACACACACACACACACACACACACACACACACACACACACACACACACACACACACACACACACACACACACACACACACACACACACAAGCAGCCAACAUACUCGUCCUCAUGGUAUGGUCUGCCCCUGAGCAUGCAAAUUACAUUCAUUAUGCAAAUACAUGCAAAUCAGAACCAACCAUCUGAGAAUCCAGGCUGGGAAAAAACGAGGAGAAUAAAAUGAAAUGAAUGACAGAGAGAGAGAGAAAUCAGAAACGUGGGAUAAAAAUCCUCUUUCACUGCAGGCGGCAGUGUGGAAGGAAAAAGUACGGUGGCCCAUACUAGAGCAAAAAGACUGGCGCAGAUCUUUUGUCGAAUCAACAAACAAUCGCUGUGGCUGAUUGCUAUUUCCUUGUUAGAAUCUCCAUCUUUAACCAACAGCUGUUCAAUUGGGAUUACAGUACAGAACAGUGGCAAGUAUUUCAAAAAGCUCACCAAACAUCAAGUCUAAUGAAUAGGGAAACUCAAUCGGCUAACAAAUUCAAUCUUCAAUUGGCACCAAUGUAUACAAAAAGGGAACAGAGAUGCGAGACGGCUACCAGUAUUGCAAAGACUGAGUGUACUAACAGGUCCAGGUGACAGUCACUUUUUCUACAGAUCAUUUACACAAUAUCCCCAUCUUUGUGGACAAUUUAUGCUACAAUACUUAGCACUGUCCAGCUACAGCUAGCACUAGAAAUAAUCAAACAACUGCAAAUCAGUUGUGUUUUAUCUGCAAACCAAAUACUGUGAAGCUUGAUUAGCACAGCAUACAGUUUAUCUAAGCAGAGCAGAGGGAUGUUGUGGGUUGGGCUCUUGAGCAAUACGCAUUUGCUUGGGGCCUCUGACUCGCUGGGGACACCUCAGUUUCGUUAAAGCUGGCCACACUUAUAAUGCAUGGCAUUGAAGUCAACAAAACGACUAAUUUACAAUACAUCAUCCUUAGAUUUGACCAGAAUUAAAAAGAUAUAUUCUAACACUUUCAAACACCAGAAAAACAACUAGAUGGAACUAGCCUCACCACACAAAGUAAUCAGACCAGUGGAAAUAGAAUGAACCUAAAUCGACUAAUCAGCUAAUAAAACUAACAAAAGAAUCACCAAACAAAUAGACGGACACAUUUUUCCCCCAGGUGAACGGCAAAUAAAUCAGCAAACACUGUACACUUUGUACAGGAGGAAAACACACAGGGCUGGAGGAGAAACGCUGCCUCACUGCCUCUCCUUAGAGCAAAACCGUGAGAUAAGUUCUUGAUUUUUGAUGGACGCCUCUUUGUGAACAAGAGUGUGGUAGGUGAGAGACAGGGAAAGAGGAGCAGGGUAGAGUAUGUUUUUAGAGAGGGGGGUGAUGCAUGGGUACCUGAAUGGCGCCACUAAUUGCCACUUGAGGUGGUACCUGCCGUCUAAGGGCCCACGGCCCGAGCUUGAAAAGUACAGUAUGCAAAAUAAGAAGCCGUUCUGGAGACUCUGACAUUAGUGACGCAGGUCGAUAUGAAGAUGCUUGGAUCAUAUGUGUACGGUAUGCUUUCUGUGUGAAUACCACAGACUGGGGUGUGUGUUUGCAUGGAAGUUUGUCCGUAUGUUCGCAGAACUCCAGCUAUACAUGUACUGUAUAUGUCUACCCGUUCUACUGGAUCCACUUCUUGCUUCCUAAUUCUUUAAGCGGUGAGGGUGGCAUACAGAGACAGAGAGGGGGAGACAGAGAGAGAGAGAGAGGAGGAGGCAGAAAGAAAGAGGGGGAGACAGAGAGAGAGAGAGAGGAGGAGGCAGAAAGAAAGAGGGGGAGACAGAGAGAGAGAGAGGAAGAGGCAGAAAGAAAGAGGGGGAGACAGAGAGAGAGAGGAGGAGGCAGAAAGAAAGAGGGGGAGACAGAGAGAGAGAGAGGAGGAGGCAGAAAGAAAGAGGGGGAGACAGAGAGAGAGAGAGGAGGAGGCAGAAAGAAAGAGGGGGAGACAGAGAGAGAGAGGAGGAGGCAGAGAGAGAGAGAGGAGGAGGCAGAAAGAAAGAGGGGGAGACAGAGAGAGAGAGAGGAGUAGGCAGAAAGAAAGAGGGGGAGGCAGAAAGAGAGAGGAGGAGGCAGAAAGAAAGAGGGGGAGGCAGAAAGAGUAGCGAGGGAGAAAGAGUGAGAGCCAGAAUCAGAGAGAGAAGAAAGAAAUGUCUCUCAGGAGGCCAAGCUCUGGCUAAAUGAUUGUGCUGCACGAGUGUGUGUGUGUGUGUGUGUGUGUGUGUGUGUGUGUGUGUGUGUGUGUGUGUGUGUGUGUGUGUGUGUGUGUGUGUGUGUGUGUGUGUGUGUGUGUGUGUGUGUGUGUGUGUGUGUGUACGCACUGUGCAUGGUUGAGAGGAGUCAUUGGUGUAUGGCAAAAAUGCUUGUAUUUAAAAAAAACUUGAAUCGCUAGCUUACUGGCUAGCUCGGCCAGUGAAUGGUGAGACAUUUGGACCCUCUUUUGCUUUUAGAUGGAGGAGGAAAGUCUGAGGGAGGUCUUUGUGCAGGAGUGAUGUAUUUUUUACUCUAUCACCGCAGUAGAGAAACAGCUAGGUAUCUCGCACGCUUUCUCUCUGUCUCGCUCUCCUUGCUUUAUUUGUCAGUGCUGACAAUACUGAUGGUAAUCGAAUUAUCACCGUUACUCGUACAGCUACACCUUUCAUGAAGUUGCACCAUGAACUGCUUAACUAUGUUUCAUGCUGUAUAUCAAACCCUAAUGGCUUGCCUCUUCUGCCAAUUCGAAGCCUCAUUAACUUAAAUCCACAAGAAUACACACUGACAAAGGAUAUCAAAGAGCCUAAAACAAUCAUCCCAAAACUAGUUGUGAAAGCUAUCCACCUAAACACACCAUGUAGAAAACAGAACAUGUAUCCUAUGCACAGUCCCCUUAUUUGGGCCAUAUGUUUUUCAACAACAAUAAAAAUAAAUAAAAAUUUAAGGGGGUGAGUCUGUUGCUAUAACAGCUUAUAGUAGCUUCCUCCACUGUCCGACUGCCCCAUACUGGGCUUGAACCAGUGAUUCUCUGCUUCGCAACACACGCGACCGCCCUUUUUGACGACAUGCAAACCAAUUAAGCAGUAUAAAAGAUCCCCCUUGGAUGGCUCCGUCAGCGACAUUUCAAGAUUGCUGUGGAGUGAGUUUACGGUACUCUGAUACACGUAUAACCACAAAACGUACUAAACAUGCUCAUGUGAGCCAACCUUAGUGACAAUUGAGUCUGACAUUAUACUGUACCUUUAAGGCUUCUGAUUGGUCGGCUGGGCACAUACGCCAGAAUGACUUCCUCGCGACCGUUGGCCAUUUUGUUUCUUUUGGUUGGCGCAAGAGACCGGCCUCGCGGGAGCGUAAUG